AGGUAUGUUAAAUAAUCUGCUAAAGUACUUGUUGUUGAUUGUAUUGUGUAAUGAUGCAACAUUUAUUAUUUAUAAAAGAUUGAUCAAUUAAAUAAGAAAGAAUAGCGAUAUCAAUUCAAAAGAUGGAUCAGUUUAUUUCGAGAGGCAAAAGUACUUGAUUGAGUCAGAUGUUCUGUCUGACUCAAACUUAACUAACCACAGUCUAUCAUCAAUGGACAAAAAAAAAAAAAAAAAAAAAAAAAAAAACAAUCAAAGUGACUUGACACUUUUUCCAAGUGUUCCAUCAAUAUUGUUCAUUGAAGAUCAGGAGCGAAUUGAUGUUAUCUACACUCAGAUGACUUCAAUUUUGGAUGGCACACCUACACACACCCACAGUGACCAGAUCAGAUUCAUUAUGGAUGUCCCUUUUCCAGAGUCCAUCAUCUGUGCUCUUGCUGUUGUGAAAGAUGUGUCCAUCUAGGAGGCUGAGGAGAAAUUCCUUCGAGGACCUGUCAUUGACGCAAGUGAGUGGGAUCACUUUGACCGCAGGAUAAAGAAACAAUUAAAGAAGAGUGGCAAACCAUUGGAGAGUCAUCUACAGGAGUCAUGCUGUUAAGAAAUAACCAAGUCAUGGUGUUAAUAAAAUUUUU